GGCGACCGGCGCACGGGUGAGUAACACGUAUGCAAUCCACCUGUAACAGGGGGAUAACCCGGAGAAAUCCGGACUAAUACCCCAUAAUAUGGGCUCUCCGCAUGGAGGGUUCAUUAAAGAGAGCAAUUUUGGUUACAGACGAGCAUGCGCUCCAUUAGCCAGUUGGCGGGGUAACGGCCCACCAAAGCGACGAUGGAUAGGGGUUCUGAGAGGAAGGUUCCCCACAUUGGAACUGAGACACGGUCCAAACUCCUACGGGAGGCAGCAGUGAGGAAUAUUGGUCAAUGGUCGGCAGACUGAACCAGCCAAGUCGCGUGAGGGAAGACGGCCCUACGGGUUGUAAACCUCUUUUGUCGGAGAGUAAAGUACGCUACGUGUAGUGUAUUGCAAGUAUCCGAAGAAAAAGCAUCGGCUAACUCCGUGCCAGCAGCCGCGGUAAUACGGAGGAUGCGAGCGUUAUCCGGAUUUAUUGGGUUUAAAGGGUGCGUAGGCGGCACGCCAAGUCAGCGGUGAAAUUUCCGGGCUCAACCCGGAGUGUGCCGUUGAAACUGGCGAGCUAGAGUACACAAGAGGCAGGCGGAAUGCGUGGUGUAGCGGUGAAAUGCAUAGAUAUCACGCAGAACCCCGAUUGCGAAGGCAGC
rnacentral:rRNA from 1 species